GCUACAGUGAGGCUAAGCUAGUGGGAGCAAAGUUUCAGUGCAUUCCGUUGAUGUAGACGGCGUGAAAACGGAAACAACAAAUAUGCCGUCUCACUCUGCUGCAUACAAUUGCACACUACGUCGUACGAUCGAGACAAGGAAACUUGGAAUGACUUUUCAUAGAGUGAAAGUAGCAGUUCCUCCUUAAUGUCAGAGAUUGCAGCAUCUGAGGGCCUCUUCAAAAGAAGACGUAGUUGAUGAAGGCGUUCUGGAGCAGGACCAGAAAGACCACGACCAAGCAGCCUUGAGAUCUUAGGCAGCGUCUCCCUCAGGUCCCUCUCUAUCUCCCCACACAUCCACCAACCACUGGAACACAUCUCCAAAGUUCUGCCGGGCCAGCUCAGCUUCCCCUCAGAAGAAGUGCCACCACCUGCCAGAUGAAGGAGCCUUUUGAGAGGCAGCUGGCAUCGUGAUUGGACUGUACUUUGGUCUGUUCCAAUCCAGCUUCAGCUCCAGAGAGGGCAGGCGGGACGAGUCAACGGAGGCCGGGUGGACGAAAGCAUGCAGCUGAGUACAACCCAGAAAACAACAGAGGAGGAGUGCAGUGGUCGCUCUGUCUUCUGGAGUGAUUUGAUUGGUCACAAAUAAAACUCCUUUAACUUAAAAUCUGUAAACAAAACAAAAACAUAUCAACAAAGUUUUCUGUUAGAGUUUGUGUUCUUCUAAGUUUAACUCCAAGAUUUUAAAUACUUCCAUUUACUGCAAAUGAUUAUCUACUCCAAAUGUCUCACUAAUAAUCAUUAUCAGCCUUAAAAACCCACAAAACACCCCUCUAUACUCAACCACACUUAGUACAGUCCGGUUCCCCCUUCUAUAAAUCUGCUUGGAAUCUUCCACUUCCUGUUUGUCAAAGUGGCCUUCUACUUGGACAGGUUUUGUUGGAGGACUAUGUCGAAAAAAAAUGCGAUUUUUCAACAUGUUGUAAAAACGUGCCAUAUGAUGAAAUAAUGUAAAGGAGGCUGUGAAAAACACUAUGGUAAGGUUUUCUUUGAAAAAAAAUCAUCAUGAAUAUUGGCGCAAAACAACGCCUUAGUAUACUAUGUCGAAAAAAAAUGCGAUUUUUCAACAUGUUGUAAAAACAUGCCAUAUGAUGGAAUAAUGUAAAGGAGACUGUGAAAAACACGAUGGUAAGGUUUUCUUUGAAAAAAAAAAUCAUCAUGAAUUUUGGCGCAAAAAAACGCCUUAGUAUGCUAUGUCGAAAAAAAAUGCGAUUUUUCAACAUGUUGUGAAAACGUGCCAUAUGAUGGAAUAAUGUAAAGGAGGUCGUGAAAAACACUCCAGAAGGGUUUUCUUUGAAAAAAAAAAUCAUCAUGAAUUUUCACGCAAAAAAACGCCAUAGUAUAUACUAUGUCGAAAAAUGUAAUUUUUCAACAUCUUGUGAAAACGUGCCAUAUGAUGGAAUAAUGUAAAGGAGGUCGUGAAAAACACUCCAGAAAGGUUUUCUUUGAAAAAAAAAAAUCAUGAAUUUUGGCGCAAAAAAACGCUAUAGUAUACGAUGUCGAAAAAAAAAUGGGAUUUUUCAACAUGUUGUAAAAACAUGCCAUAUGAUGAAAUAAUGUGAAGGAGGCCGUGAAAAACACUAUGGUAAGGUUUUCUUUAACAUCUGUAAACAAAAGAAAAAUGUAUCAACAAAGUUUUCUGUUAGAGUUUGUGUUCUUCUAAGUUUAACUCCAAGAUUUUAAAUGCUGUCAUUUACUGCAAAUGAAUAUCUACUCCAAGUCUCUCACAAAUAAUCAUUAUCAGCCUUAAAAACACACAGAACACCCCUCUAUACUCGACCACACUUAGUAUAGUCCGGUUCCCCCUUCUAUAAAUCUGCUUGGAAUCUUCCACUUCCUGUUUGUCAAAGUGGCCUUCUACCUGGACAGGCUUUGUUGGAGCUCAUGCAACAAACAUUUUGGGUAACUGCACUUUAAUAUGGAUGGAUGACUCUGAAUUAGAGUCUGUUUUAAUGAGACUGAGUUAAGAUGUGUAGCUCUGUCAUUAAAUAGGAAAUUAAUUCGCGGAAUUCACAGGGGAAGGUCUGAAAUGUUUGCUAGGUUAGCGUCCCACAUGUUUUUUGGCUCAGCUAAAGCUAACUCUCUCCAGCUUCUGGAUCUCUUGAGUUGCUUGUUGUUAAAAUAUCUUGCUAGAGGUGCUGAAGCUCAAAGUCUGAGAUGUUUGUUCAAAAUAAGCUCAUUCUCAAGUCUUCUCUGAACUGUCCUCUUUUGUUUGAACUUUCCCUAAACUUAGGAGUUAAUUACAGAGCAGCACAUCCAGACUCAGUCUCAUUUAUGUAGAGAUUAAACUUCAGUGUCAUUCAUUGAUGUUAAAGUGCAGUUUUUCAAAAUGUUUGUUGUACAUGCUCCCGACCAAAGCAGUCCAGGUGGAAGACGAUGUGAAGAGAAAGCUCCAGAGGAUGAAUAUCACACAUUUACGUUGGAAAUAAAUGUCCCUUAAUGAGAUAUUGUCAUGCCAGAGUUGAAUUUCCCUUUAAUGAUGUUCAAAUCUUUGUUGAGUGUUUUGUUGAUGUUGGUUUCUAAAUGUUUUCUGACACUCGGCCCCAAAGAUUAAAACCUUCUACGGCUGACAAGCUGCAACAAUUCACACAUUAUCAACUAUCUUUCUGACUAAACUAAGAUAAAAAGUGAAAAACUGCCUGA